GCUCUGGUGGUGGAAUUGGUAGACACGCUGUCUUGAGGGGGCAGUGGCGCGAGCCGUGCGAGUUCAAGUCUCGCCCAGAGCACCA
rnacentral:tRNA from 1 species